rnacentral:rRNA from 1 species
GACGAACGCUGGCGGCGUGCUUAACACAUGCAAGUCGAACGGAAAGGCCCCAGCUUGCUGGGGUACUCGAGUGGCGAACGGGUGAGUAACACGUGGGUGAUCUGCCCUGCACUCUGGGAUAAGCCUGGGAAACUGGGUCUAAUACCGGAUAGGACCGUGCUUUAGUGUGUGCGGUGGAAAGUUUUUCGGUGCAGGAUGAGCCCGCGGCCUAUCAGCUUGUUGGUGGGGUAAUGGCCUACCAAGGCGGCGACGGGUAGCCGGCCUGAGAGGGUGUACGGCCACAUUGGGACUGAGACACGGCCCAGACUCCUACGGGAGGCAGCAGUGGGGAAUAUUGCACAAUGGGCGCAAGCCUGAUGCAGCGACGCCGCGUGGGGGAUGACGGCCCUCGGGUUGUAAACCCCUUUCGGCAGGGACGAAGCUUUUGUGACGGUACCUGCAUAAGAAGCACCGGCUAACUACGUG